rnacentral:rRNA from 1 species
UGCUGGAGGUAUCAGAAGUGCGAAUGCUGACAUAAGUAACGAUAAUGCGGGUGAAAAACCCGCACGCCGGAAGACCAAGGGUUCCUGUCCAACGUUAAUCGGGGCAGGGUGAGUCGACCCCUAAGGCGAGGCCGAAAGGCGUAGUCGAUGGGAAACAGGUUAAUAUUCCUGUACUUGGUGUUACUGCGAAGGGGGGACGGAGAAGGCUAUGUUAGCCGGGCGACGGUUGUCCCGGUUUAAGCAUGUAGGCGGAUGUUCCAGGUAAAUCCGGAACGUUACUAACGCUGAGGUGUGAUGACGAGGCACUACGGUGCUGAAGUAACAAAUGCCCUGCUUCCAGGAAAAGCCUCUAAGCAUCAGGUAACACGAAAUCGUACCCCAAACCGACACAGGUGGUCAGGUAGAGAAUACCAAGGCGCUUGAGAGAACUCGGGUGAAGGAACUAGGCAAAAUGGUGCCGUAACUUCGGGAGAAGGCACGCUGAUAUGUAGGUGAAGUGAUUUACUCAUGGAGCUGAAAUCAGUCGAAGAUACCAGCUGGCUGCAACUGUUUAUUAAAAACACAGCACUGUGCAAACACGAAAGUGGACGUAUACGGUGUGACGCCUGCCCGGUGCCGGAAGGUUAAUUGAUGGGGUUAUCCGUAAGGAGAAGCUCUUGAUCGAAGCCCCGGUAAACGGCGGCCGUAACUAUAACGGUCCUAAGGUAGCGAAAUUCCUUGUCGGGUAAGUUCCGACCUGCACGAAUGGCGUAAUGAUGGCCAGGCUGUCUCCACCCGAGACUCAGUGAAAUUGAACUCGCUGUGAAGAUGCAGUGUACCCGCGGCAAGACGGAAAGACCCCGUGAACCUUUACUAUAGCUUGACACUGAACACUGGUCCUUGAUGUGUAGGAUAGGUGGGAGGCUUUGAAGUGUGGACGCCAGUCUGCAUGGAGCCAACCUUGAAAUACCACCCUUUAAUGGCUGGUGUUCUAACGUGGACCCGUAAUCCGGGUUGCGGACAGUGUCUGGUGGGUAGUUUGACUGGGGCGGUCUCCUCCUAAAGAGUAACGGAGGAGCACGAAGGUUAGCUAAUCCUGGUCGGACAUCAGGAGGUUAGUGCAAAGGCAUAAGCUAGCUUGACUGCGAGAGUGACGGCUCGAGCAGGUGCGAAAGCAGGUCUUAGUGAUCCGGUGGUUCUGAAUGGAAGGGCCAUCGCUCAACGGAUAAAAGGUACUCCGGGGAUAACAGGCUGAUACCGCCCAAGAGUUCAUAUCGACGGCGGUGUUUGGCACCUCGAUGUCGGCUCAUCACAUCCUGGGGCUGAAGUAGGUCCCAAGGGUAUGGCUGUUCGCCAUUUAAAGUGGUACGCGAGCUGGGUUUAGAACGUCGUGAGACAGUUCGGUCCCUAUCUGCCGUGGGCGCUGGAGAAUUGAGGGGGGCUGCUCCUAGUACGAGAGGACCGGAGUGGACGCAUCACUGGUGUUCGGGUUGUCAUGCCAAUGGCAUUGCCCGGUAGCUAAAUGCGGAAGAGAUAAGUGCUGAAAGCAUCUAAGCACGAAACUUGCCCCGAGAUGAGUUCU